UUAACACUACACACCUUAACAUAAAUAUCACCAAUAUAUGGCCACCAUCAUAGUUCCUCUCUAAACUACACAUCUAAACAUAAUCAUAUCUAAGUACAACUCAACUCAAUACAUAUGAUUAUUUAAUUUCUCACCAACAAUCACUAACAGGGUAACAAAAUAACAUUACACAAUCCUCAACACUCAAGAGAGUCAGCAUAUAACUCAAUAGAGCUCAUAAGAACUCUUCAACUUUUUAUUUAAGGAUUACGGGUUACAAGACGUACUCAUAACCUUGAAU
rnacentral:lncRNA from 1 species